rnacentral:rRNA from 1 species
CACGUAGGGCGCAAGCGUUGUCCGGAAUUAUUGGGCGUAAAGAGCUCGUAGGCGGUCUGUUACGUCUGCUGUGAAAACCCUGGGCUUAACCCUGGGCUUGCAGUGGAUACGGGCAGACUAGAGGCAGGUAGGGGAGAAUGGAAUUCCCGGUGUAGCGGUGAAAUGCGCAGAUAUCGGGAGGAACACCGGUGGCGAAGGCGGCACUCUGGGACGGUACUGACGCUGAGACGCGAAAGCGUGGGGAGCGAACAGG